GUUGAAGUCUGUGUCCAUUGUAGUAUCUGAUAUUCCCGUACGUAAUACUGUUUCUUACUUCCUGGUCACAAAAUGGCUGCCGAAGUCCAUAAGCUAAAUCCUAAUGUGAGUGAACAUGAUCAAGGAUUCAUGACUACAACCCCAAAAUACGGCACUUCUGCCUGUGUGGAAACAACAGAAGCAGGAAGAUUACUCUCAUUUUUCUCUGGCCUUUUUCCCUUGAAGCAGACUAUAAAGAAGAAUCUGACCUUCCUCUGAAGGAAACCUUCAUUCCAGACAUACCCUCCCUAUAUCCAAAGAACAUCUUUAUCUUUAAAGACACAGAGAUGUCAAGAAGAAUCUGAACAAACAGGCUUUGCCAGAUCCCCCAGUUUACUAAUAUUGAACCAUACUCUUUUGUUCUUCAAUCAUACUUCUGCAUGAUGUCCAUAAAAAUACACAGUUUUCCCCAUUCCUUUUGGGUAUUUAUUCCCGAAAGCUUCUGUGUCAUGUAAAACUUACAUUAAAUAAAUUUGUAUGCUUUU
rnacentral:lncRNA from 10 species